UUUAUGCUAAGUCGAUCAUCAGUUGUAAGUGAUAUGAUUUGUUGCAGUGAAGAAGAAGUAUGUGUGGCUCUACGCAAUCAUUCAGUUCUGUUUUGUGGUCCUCUUCGCUCAUCUCUUCCACUUAGCUAUUAAGCAGCCGGUUAUGUGUAUUGUCUUAGCCACUAUGAUCGGGUUUGGACUCACCAUGACCGGCACAACGGCUGUUAAUGAGUAUUUGAAAUGGAAGAGAAGCAAUGCCCACCAGUCAGCAAGCACUUAAGUGACUCAACCACUGUUUCAGACAGCAGAGUAGAUCUUCAGUGAAGCUAGAGUUCCCUAAAGGGUUGGAUCGGUUUUUAGAUUAACCGAUUUUUUUUCUUUUUGGUUAACUGAACAAUCAGGAUCGAGUUUUCGGUUUAGCUUUAAUCAAUUUGUCUGUCUAUGUUAUGUGAGAGCAGAUUUGGUUA